rnacentral:rRNA from 1 species
UACGUAGGUGGCAAGCGUUGUCCGGAAUUAUUGGGCGUAAAGCGCGCGCAGGCGGUCCUUUAAGUCUGAUGUGAAAUCUCGCGGCUCAACCGCGAGCGGUCAUUGGAAACUGGGGGACUUGAGUGCAGAAGAGGAAAGUGGAAUUCCACGUGUAGCGGUGAAAUGCGUAGAGAUGUGGAGGAACACCAGUGGCGAAGGCGACUUUCUGGUCUGUAAACUGACGCUGAGGCGCGAAAGCGUGGGGAGCAAACAGG